rnacentral:rRNA from 1 species
CGGCGUGCCUAAUACAUGCAAGUCGAGCGGAGUCAUUCUACAGAAGCCUUCGGGUGGAAGUGGAAUGUACUCAGCGGCGGACGGGUGAGUAACACGUAGGUAACCUGCCCGUAAGACCGGGAUAACUGGUGGAAACAUCAGCUAAUACCGGAUGUGGUCUUCUCUUCUCCUGAAGAGAAGAAGAAAGGGAGGUCUUCGGGCUUCCGCUUACGGAUGGGCCUGCGGCGCAUUAGCUAGUUGGUGGGGUAACGGCUCACCAAGGCGACGAUGCGUAGCCGACCUGAGAGGGUGAUCGGCCACACUGGGACUGAGACACGGCCCAGACUCCUACGGGAGGCAGCAGUAGGGAAUCUUCCGCAAUGGACGCAAGUCUGACGGAGCAACGCCGCGUGAGUGAGGAAGGCCUUCGGGUCGUAAAGCUCUGUUGCCAGGGAAGAAUGGCUUAUAGUUAACUGCUAUGAGUUUGACGGUACCUGAGAAGAAAGCCCCGGCUAACUACGUGCCAGCAGCCGCGGUAAUACGUAAGGGGCAAGCGUU